rnacentral:lncRNA from 1 species
AUGCCGGAGGAGAGGGGGGGUGGAGUGGUGAGUGCCCGCGGAAGGGAGCGUGGGCGGCGCGGGGCACCGGGGGGCGCGGAGCCUCCGCCCCACCACAGGAGGCGGACAGGGAGGGAAGAAGGGUGCCCGGAGCGGAGCAGAGCGGUGAGUGCGGGCAGAGCGAGGGGUACGGGAAGCAGCGUUGCCUUCCCGCUGUGUCCUCGUACGCCCUCCCCGCGGGGAGCAUCAGCGCCCGGAGCUGCUCUACGAAACCGGGCCGGGGGACACGGUGACACAAGUCUGGCAGCGGAAAGGUUUCUUCUGAAUUCACUGUACAGAGGUUGCCCAUCCAAAAUCUGUGGAAUCAUGUCACUUGUACAUUCCAGUGGAGAAUGAAUGUUUUCUGGGCAGAAAGUUUACAGAUUGUGGCAGGUAUUAAUUGAGGAAAUGAGAGUUUGGUGCUGCUGAAAAGAGACAGGUGAACAGCAAACCCAGUGGACCUUCCCUGUACUUCAUAUUCUUCACCAUAUGUGGUAGGACUUCCUAAUUUGGCUUGAAAAGGACAAAUGAUUGCAUCUACUUCUGAUUUUCCAUUUCACUUCAACAUAAUAAAAAAGUGGAACAUAAGAAAACGUUAAAAAUA